rnacentral:snoRNA from 1 species
AUUCCCCUUCAGGACAUCUAAAUGGAAGAUGAAAAUUCAAGUUUCUGA